UUCCGGUUGAUCCCGCCGGACCCGACUGCUAUCAGAGUGGGACUAAGCCAUGCGAGUCGACGUAGCAAUGCGUGGCGAACGGCUCAGUAACACGUAGUCAACAUGCCCAGGGGACGUGGAUAACCUCGGGAAACUGAGAAUAAACCACGAUAGGUCACGAUUUCUGGAAUGGAUCAUGGCAUAAAUCUACAUGGCCCCUGGAUUGGACUGCGGCCGAUCAGGCUGUUGGUGAGGUAAUGGCCCACCAAACCUAUUACCGGUACGGGCUCUGAGAGGAGGAGCCCGGAGAUGGGCACUGAGACAAGGGCCCAGGCCCUAUGGGGCGCAGCAGGCGCGAAACCUCUGCAAUAGGCGAAAGCCUGACAGGGUUACUCUGAGUGAUUUCCGCUAAGGGGAUCUUUUGGCACCUCUAAAAAUGGUGCAGAAUAAGGGGUGGGCAAGUCUGGUGUCAGCCGCCGCGGUAAUACCAGCACCCCGAGUGGUCGGGACGAUUAUUGGGCCUAAAGCAUCCGUAGCCGGUUCUGCAAGUCUUCCGUUAAAUCCAGCCGCUCAACGGAUGGGCCGCGGAGGAUACUAUAGGACUAGGAGGCGGGAGAGGCAAGUGAGUACUCAGUGGGUAGGGGUAAAAUCCUUUGAUCCAUUGAAGACCACCAGUGGCGAAGGCGGCUUGCCAGAACGCGCUCGACGGUGAGGGAUGAAAGCUGGGGGAGCAAACCGGAUUAGAUACCCGGGUAGUCCCAG
rnacentral:rRNA from 1 species